AUUCACGCCCGUGACGCCAGGCAGGCGCAGCCCUGGUGCAGUGCAUCCUGGGGAUUGUAGUUUACGCUUGCUACUAAGGGCGGUCGCAGUGCAUGCUGGGGAUUUAGUGCGCCCUGGCACCAUCUUGCUUGCAUUCUGGGUAGAGUCAUGGGGUUUGGGGCGGUGUCCUCAGUGCGCAGAGCGGCUUAAAUCAGAGGCUGAGCCCGGCGCUUCCAUAUCACGCUGUACUCUAGCUAAGGACUGGGAAGCAAGUCUAUCCAAGGCUCCUUCAUGUAACCACGCGGCAGUUGGCAGGCACUAGUCCUAGACAACUGAGUUCUCCCUGAAGAAGAGUUAAAGCAAAAUAAAAACUCACAAAAAGGAAAACAACACGAAUAAAAAGAACUAGCAUGGGACCUAAAGGACGUUGCUGAACAAGGAAAAGAGCCCAUCAGAGAUCGAGAAUGCUUGUUAUUAGUAACUUAAAUCUUUGAUAGAAUUCAUC
rnacentral:lncRNA from 1 species